rnacentral:rRNA from 1 species
CCACCUGGUUGAUCCUGCCAGUGGUAUAUGCUUGUCACAAAGAUUAAGCCAUGCAAGUGCCUGUAUGAAUGUCUCAAAAAGUGAAACUGCGAAUGGCUCGGUAAAACAGCAAUAAUUUGUUUGGGAAUAAUACUACUCGGAUAACCGUAGUAAAGAUAGAGCUAAUACGUGCUAAAACAGCGACUGAAUUUAUUCUUUCGUGGUACUAGUUAUUAGAUACAACACCAGUUUAUUCUCGGUGAUUCAUACUUAUUUUUCUGAUCGCACUCGUUGCGACAGCCCAAACAAAUUUCUGACCUAUCAACUAUGAUGGUAAGGUAGGGUCUUACCAUGGUUGUGACGGGUAACGGACCGUGGGUGCGGGAUUCCGGAGAAGGAGCCUGAGAAACGGCUACUACAUCCAAGGAAGGCAGGAGGCGCGCAAAUUACCAAAUCCGAAAUUCGGGAGGUAGUGACAUGAAAUAGCAAUAGGGGGAUCAAUGAUCUCCCUAAUUGGAAUGAAAACAAUUUAAAACUCUUAUUGAGUAUCCAGCAGAGGGCAAGUCUGGUGCCAGCAGCCGCGGUAAUUCCAGCUCUGUAAGCGUAUAUCAAAGUUGUUGCAGUUAAAACGCUCGUAGUCGAAUCCGGGCGGUCGAUGCUGAGGUUCCGAAAGGUUCUGAUGUUUCGCCGCCUUUGUGGACGGGGGUGUUGUGGUACUUCAUUGUACUGCCUCAUUUCCACCACUUUUUACUGUGAAAAAAUUAGAGUGUUCAAAGCAAGCGAUUGCCCUGAAUACAUUAGCAUGGAAUAAUAGAAUAGGACCUGGUUUCUGUUUUAUUGGUUUGUCAGUAUCAGGUAAUGAUUAAGAGGGACGGUCGGGGGCAUUUGUAUUCCAGCGUUAGAGGUGAAAUUCUUAGAUCGUUGGAAGACACACAGCUGCAAAGCGUCUGCCAAGGACGUUUUCAUUGAUCAAGAACGAAAGUAAGGGGAUCGAAGACGAUCAGAUACCGUCGUAGUCUUUACUAUAAACGAUGAGGCCUGGGGAUCAAACGUGUGANUUAUUAGUACGUUNGGCACCCUCCGGGAAACCAAAGUUUUUGCUUUCUGGGGGGAGUAUGGUCGCAAGUCUGAAACUUAAAGGAAUUGACGGAAGGGCAUCGCCGGGUGUGGAGCCUGCGGCUUAAUUUGACUCAACACGGGAAAACUUACCAGGUCCAGACAUAGUGAGGAUUGACAGANAGAGAGCUCUUUCUUGAUUUUAUGGUUGGUGGUGCAUGGCCGUUCUUAGUUGGUGGAGUGAUCUGUCUGGUUAAUUCCGUUAACGAGCGAGACCUGGGCGUAUUAAAUAGAAAAUGUUAUUCAUUUUUGGUCUAGCAGAUUAUUUUCUUCUUAAACGGACUGUAGGCUUUUAGUCUACGGAAGCUCCAGGCAAUAACAGGUCUGAGAUGCCCUUAGAUGUUCUGGGCCGCACGCGUGCUACACUGAGUAGUUCAAUGAGUGAGGUAGUACGAAAGUAUGACCUAAUCCCGAAAUCUGCUCGUGCUGGGGAUAGAAGCUUGCAAUUCUCCUUCUUAAACGAGGAAUACCUUGUAAGCGCGAGUCAUCAUCUCGCGCUGAAUACGUCCCUGCCCUUUGUACACACCGCCCGUCGCUCCUACCGAUUGAGUGGUCCGGUGAGGCUUUGGGAGAGCUAGGUAGAUUGUGAAUUUCACAGACYAUUAGGCU